GAUGAACGCUGGCGGCGUGCCUAACACAUGCAAGUCGAGCGGCAGCGCGGGGUGCUUGCACCCUGUCGGCGAGCGGCGGACGGCUGAGUAGCGCGUGGGAACGUGCCCCAAAGUGAGGAAUAACUACCCGAAAGGGUAGCUAAUACCGCAUAUUAUCUUCGGAUCAAAGGAUUUAUCCGCUUUGGGAGCGGCUCGCGUCGGAUUAGGUAGUUGGUGAGGUAAUGGCUCACCAAGCCGACGAUCCGUAGCUGGUCUGAGAGGAUGACCAGCCAGACUGGAACUGAGACACGGUCCAGAAUCCUACGGGAGGCAGCAGUGAGGAAUCUUCCACAAUGGGCGAAAGCCUGAUGGAGCAACGCCGCGUGCAGGACGAAGGCCUUCGGGUUGUAAACUGCUUUUAUAAGUGAGGAAUAUGACGGUAACUUAUGAAUAAGGAUCGGCUAACUACGUG
rnacentral:rRNA from 1 species